GGGCCCGUGGCCAAGCACGGAUUAAGGCGUCAGCCUCCGAAGCUGAAGACCGUGGGUUCGAAUCCCACCGGGCCCGCCA
rnacentral:tRNA from 1 species